rnacentral:tRNA from 1 species
GCGGGAAUAGCUCAGUUGGUAGAGCAUAACCUUGCCAAGGUUGUGGUCGCGAGUUCGAGUCUCGUUUCCCGCUCCA